CAGUGGGGUAACGUCAGUGAGGAUAUUUAUAUUAUUUGAAUUAUUAAUUGAUAACAUGUCAACUUUUGUGUGCGUGUGUGUGUGUGUGUGUGUUGGUGGAGGAGCAGAGGCAGGUGGCGCUUGGGAGGGUGAGCGGCUGACAGCAGUGUUUCGGUGUUUUCCUCAGUCUUGCCCCACACAAUCUAGUGAUAAGUAUUUCCGUAUUCCCGGCUGCUUCUCCUUGUACCAAGCACCGCCAUGCAACACCAGAGAUUCAUGAGUAUGUAAGGAUGGAUAGCUUAGGAUACCACACGGAGGGAGGUUAAGGAGCCUUGGGGAUGCCUGAAGGAGGAAAAGUGAAGGAGGGAGGCCUGGAGGUGAACGAAAUGCAGAAAAUUCCUUCAAUACGGAACGCUUCUCUGCUCAGACCAUCCUUCACUGAAUAUAUGGACCGAGGCCUCGAGAUACGAGGAUGGAGAGCUUAGGAUACCACACGGGGGGGGGUGAAGGAGCCUUGGGGAUGCCUGAAGGAUAUAAAGUGAAGGAGGGAGGCCUGGAGAUGAACGAAAUGCAGAAAAUUUCUUCAAUACGGAAUGCUUCUCUGGUCAGACCAUCCUUCACUGAAUAUAAGAACAUAAGAAAUAAGGGAAGUUGCAAGAAGCGACCAGGCUUACACGUGGCAGUCCCUGUAUGAAACACACCUACCUAUUUCCAUCUUUUAUCCCCAUCCAUAAACUUGUCUAAUCUUCUCUUAAAGCUCUCUAGUCUCCUAGCACUAACUACAUGAUUACUGAGUCCGUUCCACUCAUCUACCACUCUAUUUGAGAAACAAUUUUUUCCUAUCUCCUUCCUAAACCUAAAUUUUUUAAGCUUGAACCCGUUAUUUCUUGUUCUACCCUGGUUGCUGAUCCUAAGACUUUUGCUUACAUCUCCAUUGUUAUAACCCUUAUACCACUUAAAGACU